UACGAAGGGGGCUAGCGUUGCUCGGAAUUACUGGGCGUAAAGCGCACGUAGGCGGAUUGUUAAGUCGGGGGUGAAAUCCUGGAGCUCAACUCCAGAACUGCCUUCGAUACUGGCGAUCUCGAGUUCGGGAGAGGUGAGUGGAACUGCGAGUGUAGGGGUGAAAUUCGUAGAUAUUCGCAAGAACACCAGUGGCGAAGGCGGCUCACUGGCCCGUAACUGACGCUGAGGCACGAAAGCGUGGGGAGCAAACAGG
rnacentral:rRNA from 1 species